CGAGCUAGGUAAAAGGUUCACACUGGCCUUUAGAUUCAGGAGAGCUUGUUCGAUGUGAAAGUCCCCUAUAAUGCAAGAAAUGGUAGGGGCAUUUGGAUCUUUAAGAUUUAGAGCGAUAACGUGCUGGAAGACAGAACUAGCUUGUUCGGUGAGGCAUAUUUUCUUAGAAAGUUAUGAUCAAUAUUUAUAUUUUUGGGUGCAUAAUUUUUUCAAAAAUUUUGCGUAAGCUGGGACCGUUUGAUUGCAUCUAGAAGGGAG
rnacentral:lncRNA from 1 species